rnacentral:piRNA from 1 species
UAUGCCUGUUACAAGAGAGUAUGGUGGU